GCCCGAAGUCUAGCUCAAUUGGAUAGAGCGUCAGAAUCUUACUGUGAAGGUUGGGGGUUCGAAAUCCUCGAUGGGCU